rnacentral:rRNA from 1 species
CCUACGGGUGGCUGCAGUGGGGAAUAUUUGGCAAUGGGCGCAAGCCUGACCCAGCAACGCCGCGUGAAGGAAGAAGGCUUUCGGGUUGUAAACUUCUUUUCUGAGGGACGAAGAAAGUGACGGUACCUCAGGAAUAAGCCACGGCUAACUACGUGCCAGCCGCCGCGGUAAUAAGUAGGUGGCAAGCGUUAUCCGGAUUUAUUGGGUGUAAUAGGCGUGUAGGCGGGACAGCAAGUCAUAUGUGAAAACUCAGGGGUGAACCCCGAGCCUGCAUUGGAAACUGUUUAUCUUGAGUGAGGGAGAGGCAAGCGGAAUUCCGUGUGAAGCGGUGAAAUGCGUAGAUAUACGGAGGAACACCAGUGGCGAAGGCGGAUUGCUGGACAGUAACUGACGCUGAGGGGCGAAAGCGUGGGGAGCAAACAGGAUUAGAUACCCCAGUAGUC